GGGUCUGUAGCUCAGAUGGAAGAGCACACCCCUGAUAAGAGUGAGGUCGGUAGUUCAAGUCUGCCCAGACCCA
rnacentral:tRNA from 1 species